GAGAGAGAGAGAGAGAGAGUAAUAACUUUGUAUAUAUCAGAGAAUAAAAUUUAGAUGUUUCUUUUCCAAAUUAGUAUGUAAUCACCUUUUUAGUCUCUUUUCAAGAACUUAACAAAAAGCAAAAGGAGAAAACCCUCUGCAAGGGAAAUAGAAGGUGUCACUUGUCCGUUUGAUGUGCCAUAGUGUUAAGAAUGAAUUUAAGGAUCUGAGCAAGAGAUUGUUGAUUGCGGUAUAUAUAUAGCUGAAGAGGGAAUGUAGAGAGAUGAGAUGUGUUUCAUCAGAAUGAUUUAUGGUUUCUUGUAGAGGCAUAUAUUUGUGAGAUGAGGGAUGUGAAGAGUUACAGGACCUCAUGAUUUGAUGGUUUAUUGAAGAGCAUUGAAACUCCAUCAGAAGCAUUACGCCGGAGGAGUUAGAGAGACAAACAAAUUCAGCUAUGAGAUAAUUCAAGGUGAUUAAGUGAUAUUAGAUAAUAUUAGAAUUAGGGGUGGGCCAAAAAACCCAGAAACUUUUGGAAAUGGGUUGGCUUUUUUGAUGGGUCCGGAUGGUUCAAGGUCCAUCAGCUUAAUAUACGCGAUAACGUGGCUAAAUAUUAGACUUAGAAUCUUUCAGGUGAUGUGGCAUCUACAUAAAACCAGAGAUUUACUUUCUUUUAUAUAGUUAAAUGAUUGGAUGAGAAUAAUUCAGGUGAUGUGACACCCCUAAAAUCAGAUAUUUGAAGAUAGAUAGCAUAGUACAAGUAGAUUAACACAUACCUUAACCCAAAAGUAAAACAGAGAAUUGAGAGAAGAAAUAUAAACAGAGAAAUUAGCCAUGGAUACGAAGUCACUUUCUUUCUUCGCCGUAUUUUUCAUACUCUUUUUGGUCAUAUUUGAGGUGCCGGAGAUAGAAGCUCAGCUGUGCGUGAGAGAAUACGUUGGUGAAAUUCCCUUAAGCAACUGUUCCGUUCUGGAAAUUCAGCUUUGUCAUACAAAAUGCCGUGAAAACAACGGAGCUAAAGCUGGGAUUUGCUAUGUGGCAGGAGAGGGAGAAGACGAACAGCGUACCGAAAGCUUUAAGUGCUUAUGCAACUUCUGCAGCGAGUACUUCUGUCAGAUCUAGGUGGUAUUUGAAUAAUCCUGCAUGUGUCAUGGUUUGUAUGAUAAUAAAAAUGAAAGUCGUCCAAUUAAUAAUAAAUAUGUGAAAAAGAGCC